AUCAUUAUUCAUUCAAUUCUAUAGAAAAAACGUAAUUUCUCGUGAAUCGUUUCAUUGAUCUCUUUCUGUCUUUUUUCUUAACGUCCAUCGGGUACGCACGAAUUUUAGGCAUGAUCUUUUUCUUUAUAUUGUAAUUUCAUGCUCCGAUGAUGCACGUGGUGAACACAUCGUAUGUUUCGUUCAUACUUUCUGUUUCAUCUAGCGAACACGAUAAUAAUUGAUCACCUGUGUGCCUCUUUGAUCUUACCGAUGCUCCGGGAUCAUGGCGUGCGCGCGAGAAAGCAAAAUAUAAAUGAGAGAAUGUAGAAAAAAUGAGAGAGAGAGAGAGAGCAGGUAUUAUAGAGGCAGCCGCGCACUAAGACCGCAAUAUUGACAUUUAGACAGUUGUUCCAGAAAAAGUAGCGAUAAGAUAAUGCAGACGGCAGAUUGGCCUUCCAUCUUUCAAAGUAGAAAAACAUAAUAAACUGUAAUAGAACUGGUACGAAAAUAAGAUAAAGUAUAAAAAAAAAAAAGGUACAAUACGGGAUUACUGAAAAACUCGCGAGCACGAGGUACGUCUGUACUUAUGUGUAAUAACUGUUAAUCACAAUUCGUUCCUUCCACCUUUUUGUUUUCUAUUUCUCCGUCAUUCUUUCUCUACUAAUUAUUAACAAUAACUGUCGUUGUAAAGAGUUCACCGAAAGUAGCUUGCGCGAAUUAAAUAAUAACACGUGUUUCUGAAGAAUAUAUAAGACUAGAAGAGAUCUCGUUCCUUAUUUUAUAUUUUUCUUUUUCUUUUUUUUUUUAUACCGUGUGGAAGUGAAAAGUUGGUUAACGA